rnacentral:lncRNA from 1 species
GCUAGAGGUACAAGGAAGGGUUGAGAUCUCACAAACAUGUUUAAACCCGCCGCACUUUUGCGCCUGUCCCAAGUCAGGAGCCUCUGGCCUUUGUUAGUCUUGUAUUAUUUUAACUUUAAGUUUCUUGUGUACAAUUUGGAGUUUAGUAUAGCGUUCAUUAUCACUGAACUAGUAUAUAUUUGUUUAGGGGCCAGCUGAAAGACGCCUCC